CAAGCUACUAAGUGCGAUCGGUGGAUGCCUUGGCACCAAGAGCCGAUGAAGGACGUUGUGACCUGCGAUAAGCCCUGGGGAGUUGGUGAACGAGCUGUGAUCCGGGGGUGUCCGAAUGGGGAAACCUGGAAUGUCCGGAGUUGUGUCCGGUGACCCUGCCCUGAAUGUAUAGGGGUGUGGGAGGUAACGCGGGGAAGUGAAACAUCUUAGUACCCGUAGGAAGAGAAAACAAGUGUGAUUCCGUGAGUAGUGGCGAGCGAAAGCGGAGGAGGCUAAACCGUGUGUGUGUUCAAGCCGGCAGGUGUUGCAUGUGCGGGGUUGUGGGGGCCUUGUGGUUCUGCUGCCGCAGGAUUGGCCAGUGAGAAAUGUUGCGUGAAGGUGAAGCGUUUGGGAAGGCGUACCGGAGUGGGUGAGAGUCCCGUAACUGUGAGCGUGGCACUGGUGUGGGGUUGCCCCAAGUAGCGUGGGACUCGUGGAAUUUCGCGUGAAUCUGGCGGGACCACCCGUCAAGCCUAAAUACUCCUUGGUGACCGAUAGUGGAUGAGUACCGUGAGGGAAGGGUGAAAAGUACCCCGGGAGGGGAGUGAAAUAGUACCUGAAACCGGUCGCAUGCGAGCCGUCAGAGCCUUGUGGGGUGAUGGCGUGCCUUUUGAAGAAUGAGCCUGCGAGUUAGUGAUGCGUGGCGAGGUUAACCCGUGGUGGGGGAGUCGUAGCGAAAGCGAGUCCGAAUGAGGGCGUUAGUCGCGUGUUCUAGACCCGAAGCGGUGUGAUCUAUCCAUGGCCAGGAUGAAGCGUCGGUAAGACGUCGUGGAGGUCCGAACCCACUUCAGUUAAAAAUGGAGGGGAUGAGUUGUGGAUAGGGGUGAAAGGCCAAUCAAACACCGUGAUAGCUGGUUCUCCCCGAAAUGCAUUGAGGUGCAGCGUUGCGUGGUUCUUGUUGGAGGUAGAGCACUGGAUGGUCUAGGGGGCUUAUCGGCUUACUGAAAUCAGCCAAACUCCGAAUGCUGGCAAGUGUAGCGUGGCAGUGAGACGGCGGGGGAUAAGCUUCGUCGUCGAGAGGGAAACAGCCCAGAUCAUCAGCUAAGGCCCCUAAGUGGUAACUGAGUGGGAAAGGAUGUGGAGUUGCGUAGACAACCAGGAGGUUGGCUUGGAAGCAGCCAUCCUUGAAAGAGUGCGUAAUAGCUCACUGGUCAAGUGAUUCCGCGCCGAUAAUGUAGCGGGGCUUAAGUUAUUCGCCGAAGCUGUGGCAACCGUGUUCGGUUGGGUAGGGGAGCGUCGUGUCAGUGGUGAAGCUGCCGGGUGACCGUGUGGUGGAGGUGAUGCGAGUGAGAAUGCAGGCAUGAGUAGCGUUUGACGGGUGGGAAUCCCGUCCGCCGAUUAUCCAAGGGUUCCAGGGUGAAGUUUGUCUGCCCUGGGUGAGUCGGGUCCUAAGGCGAGGCCGACAGGCGUAGUCGAUGGGUAACCAGUUGAUAUUCUGGUACCGGCAUGUCACCGUCCGUGUCGAGGUGUGUGAUGCUAAGCGUGCGAGUGUCCUGGUGAUCCUUUUUUGGGGUGAUCUUGUGGCGUGAGUGUGUGAACCGAGCAUGUAGUAGGCAAGCUGCGGAGGGACGCAGGGAGGUAGCUCAUCCCCGGCGAUGGUUGUCCGGGGCUAAGUGUGUGGACUGUCUGGUAGGUAAAUCCGCUGGGCGUGUAAGUUGAGGCAUGAUGGCGAGCCUGCGUGUGUGGGUGAGUGAGUGAUCCUGUACUGUCGAGAAAAGCUUCGUGAGCGAGGUGGUGUGUCCGCCCGUACCCUAAACCGACACUGGUGGAUAGGUAGAGUAUACUGAGGCGUUCGAGUGAAUCGUAGUGAAGGAACUCGGCAAAAUGCCCCCGUAACUUUGGGAUAAGGGGGACCUGAGCUGUCGUGCACUUGUGCGGUGUUGUGGCGGUGAGGGGCGCAGAGACCAGGGGGAAACGACUGUUUAUCAAAAACACAGG
rnacentral:rRNA from 1 species